rnacentral:lncRNA from 1 species
CUGUCCGCCCGGUGGCUUUGUGCUCGAUGAUUCUUAGCGAUGUAGGUGGUGCGUUAGCUGCUGUUCGCUGUUUGCAUGGACUUCAGCCAGGUGUUUUUAUUUGUAGUACACCUGUACAGCUACGUGCAUGAUAUGCAAGGUUUAUGAACUACGUGUCGUGUUCUCUUUUCACGCCACAUUAUUCUAUCGUUUGUUUUUCUUGCGGCCAUUCUAUACAAAGCUUGCUAUGGAUUCUUUAGUCCACGCCCGCGUUCGUUAGUAGCUGCAAGAGUUAGUCCUUCAUUCUUGUGCUCUUGUACUUUUUACGCAUGUUUUCUUUCAGUUUGAGUUAGCUAAUGCCGUAGUUUAUUGUUUGUUAACUGCGAAAAUUAUGAAGAGGCCGUUACUGUUAUCUCUAACAUUUCAUCUCCAGGAAUCAUUGAUGCGCGUCACUAAAAACGCAUACAAGUUUUCUAAGCCCCAAAUUAGCUGCUAACUAUCGGACAGAGCUUGCGCUGAGAAAUGAGAUUGCUACAAUCGAAUUAUCCAUUGAUCCGUCACACACAAACCAUGGCUCUUUAAAGGUCAUCACCCAAUUCAUUCUCCACAAAGCUUUCUGAUCACAAAUCCUCCUAUUCUUCCAUUCCUAAUUGGUAUGUUUUCUUUUGAUUAUUCUUGUAUUAUAUAAGUUUUUGACAAAUUUUGAAGUAGAUUAGUCAUGUUGUAAUUCUUCCUUUUUCUGUAGCAACUUUAUUUUGCUUUUUCUGAUUUGCUUUUUCUGAUUAUUUGCAUUUUUAGCACUUGUUUUCUUUCUUCUGAAUGUGUUUCCUGAAAGCAUGUUGCGGUCAAAACCUUCUUCACAAACAAGCUCUUCCCAUAAUUUUUUGUCUGUCAUGUGAGGGUGAUGAAUCCAUAAAGCUAUCUAUGGGGAGGUCUUUCAAUUUCUUCAAACUUUGGCCACCUUUUUUUAAUCAUUUUCGUCAAAUAUUUCAAAUAGUUGAAUUAUUGAAUGGAAAUUAAAGUAUAAUAGGAAGGAACAUCUAUCAAAUUUUGACUUGCAGCCGCUGCAUAUUAUGUAAGUAAAAUUUCAUUUUCUUUGUUGAUGACCUGUAUUUGCUUAUAUAAUUGAACAAGGUAAACUUUCUUAUUGAAGUUAUUAAGCUUUUGUAGGACUGAGACUACAAAACUCAAAUGUUUGUUUGCCACUUACCGUUUUCCUUUGCUUCGCUAAUCUUUUUGAUAGUGAAGGGCAUCAUUCCUUCUCUUCUCCUUGCUGUACUUCGAUAGAGACGGUAAUUGAAAAUAAGAAGUUACCAGUCUGUCUUUGGUCCUUGCUGCUGAGCUCAAGUUCCUCUAUUUUAUAUUGUCUACUAAUUUAUAUUGUCAGGUAAGAAGUUUUCUUUCCCGUUGGUGUUCUUUUUUGACAGUUUGAUGAUUAGCCAUGCUAUUGGUUAUUAUCAACUGUCAUGCCAAUUGAUUGAAUUUGGAGGCCUAAUGUUUUUUUACCUAACCUUUAUUUACUCAUUGUUGCAUCUUUGUUUUCUUGUUCUACUAGAUUUCUUAACACCAUACAUGUUGAUAAUUAUCUCUUUAUUGCAAGUGGUAAUAGUUUGAGCAUUGCAUGGUUUUCACCUAAACUUUUUGCUUAGUUGUGGCCAAUUCCCUGGACUUAUGCUGUUAGCCUUAGAAAUCUAACUUUCUAACACAAUCGCUUAUCAAAUUGCACACAAAAACCUGACACAGUUCAUCACAUUUUGACAACGCAAAUAUGUGACACCAAACUACCCGCUAGAAAUGUAGAAAUCCAAAAACUCCGAUUUACCGCUCAAAUCCGAAUUGAAUCCAGAAUUUUCAAUUGAAUAGUUCAAUAAUUCAGAAUGGAAAUCGAAAGAUCCAAUUUCGAAUUAAUCGAAUUCAAGUCAAAUUCAGUAAUGAGAUCUUUCAAAUAAAAAAUUAGACCCGCAUUUUCAUCCCAUCUUCGGCAAUCCACAAGUAAUCAGGAACUCGGGCAAGAUGACAUUUGAAAAAGGUUGAGUUUGGAUUUGGAUCUUCUGCCCAACAGGCCAUCAUGUGGAGUACCUGUUUAAAUAAGCUUGCAAAGAUUAGACAAUUUAUCUUAUGGUGUAUAUGAUACCUUUUUUUAAACGGAAUUUAUCUAUGAAAAUUGUCGAAUCAAUAUGUUGUCUUGAUUGUUGACAGAAUGACAAGCCAUAUUGGAACAUAAAUUUCAAAUCAAGGAGAAUGAAGUCUUUUGCACAUCAGAUCCAUCUGUUAGGUGGCUGUAAAGUGUUUAGUUCGACUCUUAAACCCUUCUCAUUUCUCCUUCCUCUUGUAUGCCUUGGAGUCUCCUUUGAACUAUAAAAACUGAAAAAAUAAUAGUAAUAAGAAAAAUUUUCGAGUUCAAAUGCAUCAGUUGGCGUUAUUGGUAAAGAAUUUCUGCGAUAAAAACGUGAAAUCUGAACCAUAUAUUACCAUCUUUUCAUAUUGUCUAUCAUGUCUAAAACUCAAUGUGCAAUAAAAGUUUUAUCAGAACGAAAACGAUAAUUAAUAGUCGUUAGCUAUUGGAAAAUGUAAAUGAAGCACAUCGAUUCUAAUGGUGAGAUAAGGGCCAAGGUUUCUGGAUUUACCUUCUGUACACAUGCUAUGUUAACAUAUCGACUGUUUUCAUCUUCAUAAUGAAUGUGUGCCAUUAGUUUUCGCAAAGCAUUUUCUCUUAGCUUGGAGAAGGGCCAGAGCUUUAAAACUGGCUCUCCAACGUGAUGGAGGAUGUCCCAAACUGUAUCUUGCAUAAAAGGUUGAGGGCUGGUGAGAUCGUCCUGCAUUUGAGAAUUGUUACAUUUCAUGUCUUGUUCAUGCAUGCAAAAUAAUUAAUUCAGAAGGACAACUUAAUAAGGAGCUUGAGGAAACUUAGAAGGCACCUAAAUGCCCAAAUUGAAUCUCGAACGAUGGAAUGAACGUUCUAGUGUGGAAUUUCUUGCUUGCUAGCUAGUAUUGAAGCAAGCAAAGAAUGGAAUUGUGAAUGGAGAAUGGAGAACGGAAUUGGCCUACCGGAAGACGUUUUAAUGCUAAGGAGCAAGAGCUUAAAUGCAGUGUUCCUACUUUACUGCAAUCUUAUAUGCAGGAUUGUGUUUGAUGGGCAGCAGCUGCUAAUGGAGUAUUUUCUGUUAAGUCUGCUAUGGAAAAACUGUUCCGCGCAGGAGCGCAGGUAUCUUGGUUCAAGCUUCUCUGGGGGAAUUGUAAUAUACUAAAGUUAGAUUUGUGCUGACUGCUGAGGUUAGCACUACAACACAAACUGUUGACCAAUGACAGACUUGCUAGAUAGAGAGUAGCUAAUUUCUCUGUAGUUUGUGUUCUGUGCAAUCAAGAAAAUGAAACGAUUUAGCAUCUAUUCUUCCAAUGCACUUUUUCUGAGUGUGCAUGGGAGAAAUUACAGAGACUUUGUGAAGUUAUUUUGCACAAAUCAACAACAGCAUAUUUCUUUUGCCCAGAGAAAAAGGGGGCCCGGGGUGUGGGGUUGUUGGUGG